CAUUAAUCUUUUUUCUUCCUUGCAACGAAAUCCUUCUCCCCUCCUCCAAGCCACCAGAAGGACGAAUCGCUUCCUUUUCUCGAUUAUAUCCCCCAGUUCUUGAAUUGGAAUCCGAUCCACCUUGGUCUAGGUUUCAUGGCCACCGACGGCGAUCCUGGUGUCUCCGCCGACCCGGGCGCCGUCGGCGAGGCUGAUGCAGUCACUAUCCAUGUCCGAUCCUCCAACGGGUCCAAACUCUCGGUGCGGGCCUCACUCGAGUGCACGGUAGGGGCCUUCAAGGUUCUCCUGGAGGAGAAGUCCGAUGUCCCGGCGGAGCGGCAGCGGUUGAUUUACAAAGGCCAGAUUUUGAAGGACGAAAAAACCCUAAUGAGCUAUGGCUUGGAGUCAGAUCACACAAUUCAUUUGGUUCAUGGUUUGACCCUGCAAAAUCCACCUUCCGAUGUGACUCCAGCUGCUAAUAGAGUUUCAGGAGUUGAGAGUGGUGGUUCUAAUGGAGGUGGGGGAUUUGGAGGAGCUGAUGUUGCAAGCUCGCUCUUUCCUGGCAUUGGUAGUAACAUUAGAAAUGGUGCUGGAUCAGGCAUGCUUGGAUUUGGCUUACCAGAUCUCAGUCAGAUGCAGCAGCAGUUAGUGCAAAAUCCAAGCAUGAUGAGGGAAAUGAUGAAUAUGCCUGCUGUUCAGAGUCUGAUAAAUAAUCCUGACCUGAUGCGAAACAUGAUAAUGAACAAUCCUCAAAUGCGUGAGAUCAUUGACCGUAAUCCUGAGUUCGCGCACAUCCUAAACGACCCCAGCACUCUUCGGCAAUCUCUGGAAGUCAUGAGGAAUCCUGAACUCAUGAGAGAAUUGAUGCGGAGCACUGAUAGAGCUAUGAGCAACAUUGAGUCAUCCCCAGAAGGAUUCAACAUGCUUAGGCGAAUGUAUGAAACUGUCCAGGAGCCGUUUCUUAAUGCUACAGCAGGGGCAGGAAACGAGGGGAAUGAUGUGGGUCAAAAUCCAUUUGCAGCACUUUUGGGGAAUCAGGGUGGUGUGCAGUCUAGAGAUCUGACACCAGACCAGCCUGGUACUGGUUCCAAUCAAACUAGUGAAUCAUCUUCACCAAAUAGUAACCCACUUCCAAACCCAUGGAGCAGAACUGGAGUGCAGACAACCAAUACCACACCAGCUCCUCCUCAUGAUGGAAGAUCUCCAAGCAUUGGUGGAUUAUCAGGGUUAGAAAGGAUGGCUGGUGGAUUGACAGACCCAUCCUUUGUCAAUCAACUUCUGCAAAACCCAGCCAUUAUGCAGAUGACGCAGAGUCUCCUCUCCGACCCUCAGUUUAUGAAUCAGGUUCUGAAUCCACAACUCCGUAACUUGUUGGGUUCCAACUCUCAGCUUAGCAGUAUGUUACAGAAUCCAGAAUUAAUUCAGCAGCUUACUUCUCCUGAGACACUGCAGCAACUUCUAUCAUUUCAGCAGACACUUUUAUCCCCAGGUGGCCAGCGGCAAACAAGCCAGGAACAAAAUCAGACUGGUGCCACUGCAACAGGAGCGAUCAAUACCAGUGGCUUAGAAUUUAUGAUGAAUAUGCUUAGUGGACUUGGGUCUGGCAUGGGGGCUCCUAACCCUGAUGUGCCUCUUGAGGAACGAUAUGCAACACAGCUUUCUCAGCUACAAGAAAUGGGCUUCUCUGACACUCAAGAAAACAUUCGCGCAUUAGAAGCCACUGCUGGAAACGUCCAUGCUGCAGUUGAUUGGCUUUUGAGGAGCCCUCAUUGAUGGAUCUGUCAUAUCUAAAGAACAAUACCGACGGUUUCAGCUUCAUAAUUUUUGCAGCGACUUUAACAAAUCAGGCAUUCAUAUUGCUAAUUCAUCCUGGAAGGCGUUUUAUUGUAAUAGUCUGUUGGCAUCGUAUUUUGAGCCUAUAAUUAACAAACAGUAAGCCUUAUCGUGGUUCACCAAUUUUCAUAAGUUGAGUUUGGUUAAUGUUGUGUGGUUAUGAAUAAAGUGAGAAAACAAAGUCUUAGAAUCCCAAGUAGAAAUUAUUUUCCCAUUGUAUAUCAGAAAACUAAAUUUGGUCUUAAGAUCAAGUAGAACUUUCUUUGUAAUACUUCACUGUGUUUGCUAAUGAAAAUAGUUAGUGUUAAUAUUCUGACACUUAAGUUUA